CUCCUCCUCCUCCUCCUCCUCCCCCCCCCGCCUCUUGAAUUAUUCAAACUGUCACUGGUGACUCGGAGGACAUUAGCAUGCAUCAGACAUGCUGUUUGUCUGUUUGCUAACAUUCUUCAUUCAAGACUUGUUAACUGCCAGACGAGCUUAACACGCUUCCCUCUCCUUCCCUUUCUCCUCUGGCGCUCCCUCUCAUGCCAGCCCGCUCUGCCUCGCCUAUUGUUAUGGCUGGGAGCUGGCAGCCGGGGGGGGGAGUGGGCAGCGGUGGGCAAGAGGUGGCAGGGGCUGAAGAGGCUGCGCCAGCCCUGCUGGGUCAGCACUGCCUCCCCACGCGCGCCAGGCCUGCGUGCGCUCGCAAAACGCCGGCGCGGUCCCGGCGGCUCUCGCCUCGCUUUCGCAGGAGACCGCAGCGCUGCGAGGCGGGCGAGCGGGCGGCCCCUCUCGGCUUCUCUCCCCGCGGCCGGGUCUUUCUUCCUCCUGGGUAAGGCUUGGUUUCUUCCUCUAAACGCUUCUGUCGGCUUCUGGUUUUGCUGGGCGGCGUUUCUCCUUGAGGACGAUGCCCGCGGGAGAGCGGAGGAGCAGAAGACCCCGCUCCAAGUCUGAGAGGGAAGUUUCGGCAAAUCGGAGGAGGGGAUCGAUAGAUUUCCUUGGGAUCCCGCGGCCACCUAACCCUCCCUCGCUUCCCCCCACAGGAAAAGGCGGCCGAGCCGGCUCUUAUUCUUAGCGUCGGGUCCAUCCCUCUGCCAACCUCGUUUCCAGCCAGCCAGCUUUCGCUUACGAAAAUGCCGCAAAGGUCAAUAACACGGUUUCAUUCCUGAGAGUUAGCGGCGACGCCGCGGCUAAUCCCGCUGUACCUGAAAUUGCCACGAAUCCUCUCCUCUCUUCUUUUUGUCUGCUUUUGUUUUGGCCACCGACCCUCCUCUGAUUCUCUCGCGGUGUAAACGCGCCGGGCAGCGGUCGAAGAAACGGCUUGAGCAAAGGACCUCUUGCCCAGAGACAUCAGAGUUUUUCCAUUUUUUUGAUGAUCAUCCCCAGGAACAAGACCAAGUUACAUCCUUGGCAGGAUCUCGUCUGGAGUCAGUCAAGAUUGCGGAUUCCGAGAUGCCUCGCCGAGAAUCUCGUCUUUUUCUUUCUCCACCAGAGCAUGGCCAAGAAGAUCAGAAGAAGACACCGUUCACCAAACUCAGGUUCUUAAAAUUAUGGGUCAUUAGAGCAAUUACUGGUUGGACCAGAGAUCAGAGAGUGUCCCUAGAUAGCCUUCGCUGGAGUAACGCUGCUUUGCAGCCCGGUUUGUAAUUUCGUAGCAGAAAAGUACAUCAAAUGCACGCAAACGUGCAUUGGGAAUCUAAACAGCAGGUGCCAGCCUAGGCGUCCAGUCGAAGCCUGAUAGCAUCAAAAAGACGUUGCAGCAUCAUGUUGGCAUCCUUGUGGCUUCCACCAGACACCUGUGCUAGCAUCUGCUUUUUAAGGUUGGAAUCUCUCUUCUGUUGGCCCAGAAUUGUUCAGGUCCCUUUCACAGGCUGAUGACAAGAUUUAAACUUUCAGGACUAAAAGUUCUCUGACAGUGAAUAAAUUUAAAGUUCAGAACAGUUCUGAGCCUCAAAUCGCCACAUCUUGGCUGGGUCUUCUGGAGUUGAUGGCUCGGCAACAUUGAGGACGACCUCUUUUCCAACCAGGCCCAAAGGUCACACUUGCAUAAAUUCUGCAAAUACACAUCCGUUGGUCCUCCUCACAGCCUCCCUGGCUGCUCACACCUCCUAUUCUGAAAAGCAAGGAGAAGAAUUCCUU